UACAUGCUUUUUUAGUAAUUUUUUCAUUAAUCCAUUGUUUUUGUUCAAAUUCUUUCUCGUUUCCGGAAAUUGAAAAUUAUGGAAUUGGCUUUUCAAAUAAUUUUCUUUAUUACAGAAAAGCUCACAACAUGAUGACUCUAAUCAUGGCGGCUCAGAUGGUGGUUCUAAACACACACAACAUGAUGACUCUAAUGAUGGCGGCUCAGACGGUGAUUCUAAAAGCUCACAACAUGAUGACUCUAAUCAUGGCGGCUCAGAUGGCGGCUCAGAUGGUGGUUCUGUAAG